rnacentral:lncRNA from 1 species
CUCGGUGAGGAGAAGGGAACGCACUGGCUCAGUCGCUGUCUGACCGAAGAGCAGUGAGGAUGUCUGUCCUGUUCCAGGUGUUUGUAGAAGGGGUGGAGGGCAGAAAAAGCAUCUUAGACGUGGCAAAUACAGAGCAGGAAUUCAACAAUAUGCCCACUGACAAAUUCAUGGAGAUGGUGGCCACCAAACUCCUGAAGAAGCCAGGUUACCAACAAUUUAGUUUGCUGUAUGCUAACCAACAAAUGGAAAGAGGGAAAAAAUUCUCAGAUUAUUUUAUCAGAAACAAGUCUACCUUCGUCAUGGUUAUACAGUUGCCUGGAGGAGGGGGUGACAUGUUGACUUAAUGAAGGACUUAGUUUUCACAUAGGAAAUGAUGUGCAUCGGGGCCUACCCCGGACUGUGGUGGGUUCCUGCAUAGGCAUGGAUUUGGUUAUCAUUUGCCUGGAAAGAAACCAGAGAGGGGAGUGGUGCUGAGCCUCAAAGGUCACUGUCACACCCAGAGAUCAGCACACCAGUGGGGGAAUGUGGCCAUCACUGCCAGUCCACCAAGCCACUAGGUUGAUAAAUGUGAGGAUCCUGCUGUUUUCCUUUCCCUUAUGUGGUCCUUUUCAUUCCCUGCUAUCGUCCACCUGUCCUCUCUCUCUCUCUGUCUUUGAGCUGAUCCUGUAACCAACUGCAAGGCAUGACACCAGCACAAUGGGAUAAGUGAGCCACUCAGUGCACGACUGGUGAAGAAAAAGACCUGCCCAGACCAGCCAGAUGAUGUCCAGGAGCCGGAAAGUGAGUCAGGGUCCAGAGCAACAGCUGUCCUUCCUGACCGACUUGCCAGUCCAGAGCAUCUGCCCGUGACAGACCACCUGUCUUUGUGUCCUGAAAACACCAACAAAAAGCUGUAUUUCUCCCACCUUAUUAUCUGUUCUCUUCCUCCACUUCCCUUUGCAUCCGUUUUGUUAAAAGCAGGAAAAGUAAAGACAAAACUCACAGCUCUCAGCAAAAGAAUGAACCAUCUUCCCCACUAAGAAAUGAGCCAGAAUGAGACUCUCACCAAUAUCCUCUCUGGAAAAAGGAACUUAUAAGUUUUGCUUAUGAUUGUUUUGCUUAACACUCGCUUUCAAAAUGCUUUGUCUGGUUUUGAAUUCUUUUCUUGUGUAUCCUGAUUAAUAAAUUUCCAAGCUGCAGUGUGAGGAUUCUA